rnacentral:rRNA from 1 species
UACGAAGGGGGCUAGCGUUGUUCGGAAUUACUGGGCGUAAAGCGCACGUAGGCGGAUUUGUUAGUCAGGGGUGAAAUCCCGGGGCUCAACCUCGGAACUGCCUUUGAUACUGCAAGUCUCGAGUCCGGAAGAGGUGGGUGGAAUUCCUAGUGUAGAGGUGAAAUUCGUAGAUAUUAGGAAGAACACCAGUGGCGAAGGCGGCCCACUGGUCCGGUACUGACGCUGAGGUGCGAAAGCGUGGGGAGCAAACGGG